CCGGCGGUGACCACAGCCACUGUCGCUGCUGACCUUGAGGGAAAACGAGAUUGAGAGAGAGAGACACGCACAGAACGCGCGAUGCGAGGAAGAGAAGGAGCUCAUCUUCGUUGCCGCCGUCGCCGCGCCUUGCCGAUGCUGCCUUUGAUGGAAGCCGCCAGUGUCGCUGGAAGGAACCAAACAGGGAGAGGAGAUCACUGUUGAUGUUACCGCAGAGAGGAAGGAAGGGACGCGUGUGAGAAAGUGACACAACAGAGGAGGAGUCAUUCCUCUGCCGCCACCGCCUUCGGAAUUCCUGGUCACCGCCGUCGUUCAUGGUGUAUGAUAAUGAAAUUAUGAUCAUGAACUAAUGAUCAUGUGAAUGUUUGAUUAAUGUGUGGUAAGUAUGGUAGAAUGCUAUUCGCGAAGGAUAUAGACGGUAUACCCCUAAUGCCGGAACAUUUGAAUUGUGCAGAGCGAUUUGUCAUAAGUUGAAGGAGGAGAAUGGAAUUACAUAUACUCUUGAUCAGAUUGUGGUAAGCAAUGGAGCAAAGCAGAGUAUUGCUCAGGCAGUGCUUGUAGUUUGUUCUCCCGGCGAUGAGGUAUGUAAUGGCUCUUUACCUUACUUGCGAAGACAUUAUGCCAGUUAAAGAAAAAUGGUGAGUGUGCUUUAAAUUAGUGUUGAAAUACAGGGUUAGGGGAUAAAAUUGACUUCACCAUUUAAUAUCUUGUUUCUCAUUGCUUUUGAGUUUUUGGGGGUGAAAUUUCUAUUGUGAUUCAAAGACCAAACAAAGGGUGCAAUAAAAUUUGUGUUAGUUUUUCUUAUAGAUUAGAGAUCUUUGUAGAAAAGAUAAAGUAUCAAAACUCUUUAGGGUUUUCUUUCUGAAUUUGUUCAUGAAAUUACUGUUUGAUUUGUUCUUUUGUUUAUCAAAACUCUUUUUUUUUGUUCUUGAAUUGAAUGUGGAUUGCAGAAGUGUUAAUUGAAUUGUGUUGUCUUUUCUCUUCUACAGGUGUAAUUCUUGACUUUUUUAAUUUUCU